rnacentral:rRNA from 1 species
UACGGAGGGGGCUAGCGUUGUUCGGAAUUACUGGGCGUAAAGCGCACGUAGGCGGCUAUUCAAGUCAGAGGUGAAAGCCUGGAGCUCAACUCCAGAACUGCCUUUGAAACUAGAUAGCUAGAAUCAUGGAGAGGUGGGUGGAAUUCCGAGUGUAGAGGUGAAAUUCGUAGAUAUUCGGAAGAACACCAGUGGCGAAGGCGGCCCACUGGACAUGUAUUGACGCUGAGGUGCGAAAGCGUGGGGAGCAAACAGG